CGCCUCUUGAACCCUAAGAUUAUAAGAGGCCCCGCCUGCCCUGUGACCAAAAGUUUAACGGCCGCGGUACUUUGACCGUGCGAAGGUAGCGCAAUCACUUGUCUUUUAAAUGGAGACCUGUAUGAAUGGCAUAACGAGGGCCAAGCUGUCUCCUUUCUCCAGUCAAUGAAAUUGAUCUGCCCGUGCAGAAGCGGGCAUGUAAACAUAAGACGAGAAGACCCUAUGGAGCUUUAGACACCAGAACAGCCUGCAUAAAUUAACCUUAACAAAAAGAUCAAACCAAACAACCCCUGUUCCCCUGUCUUCGGUUGGGGCGACCGCGGGGGAACAAAAAUCCCCCACGUGGAAUAGGAACAACCUCCUUAAAAAUAGGGCUACAGCCCUAAUAAACAGAAAAUCUGACCAACAAUGACCCGGCAAAGCCGAUCAACGGACCCAGUUACCCUAGGGAUAACAGCGCAAUCCUCUUUUAGAGCCCAUAUCGACAAGAGGGUUUACGACCUCGAUGUUGGAUCAGGACAUCCUAA
rnacentral:rRNA from 1 species